GACGAACGCUGGCGGCGUGCCUAAUACAUGCAAGUUGAGCGAUGAAGAUUGGUGCUUGCACCAAUUUGAAGAGCAGCGAACGGGUGAGUAACGCGUGGGGAAUCUGCCUUUGAGCGGGGGACAACAUUUGGAAACGAAUGCUAAUACCGCAUAACAACUUUAAACAUAAGUUUUAAGUUUGAAAGAUGCAAUUGCAUCACUCAAAGAUGAUCCCGCGUUGUAUUAGCUAGUUGGUGAGGUAAAGGCUCACCAAGGCGAUGAUACAUAGCCGACCUGAGAGGGUGAUCGGCCACAAUGGGACUGAGACACGGCCCAAACUCCUACGGGAGGCAGCAGUAGGGAAUCUUAGGCGAUGGACGAAAGUCUGACCGAGCAACGCCGCGUGAGUGAAGAAGGUUUUCGGAUCGUAAAACUCUGUUGGUAGAGAAGAACGUUGGUGAGAGUGGAAAGCUCAUCAAGUGACGGUAACUACCCAGAAAGGGACGGCUAACUACGUG
rnacentral:rRNA from 1 species